UUCACCCACAGAAGAGACACUCGCUAGAUCUGGUUUGCUCUGGUCACUUCUGUCGUCCUGUUCUUGCUGUGUGGUCACCGUGGUAGCAGAGCUCAGCACCCUCCAUUACCUGAGGAGAGGGAGAGGUUCAUUUUGGGCAGGAUGGCCACAGCACAAAGAAGCACACUGCAAUUGCUUUGUUGUAGAUGUGUGGUGUACACAGGCAUACAUGUGUGUGCUCAUGUGAAGGCUAGAGGCUAACAUCAACUGUCUUCUCGUUACUGCGUCCUACAAGGUGUCUCACUGAACCUAGCGUUCACUGUUUCAGCCAGGUUUGUUGGUUGGCCAAGCCAAGGACUUGAUCUGUCUUUGGCCUCCAGCACUAAGACCCCUACACACCCAGCUUUCAUGUGGUUGCCAAGAACCCUAACUUAUGCCCUCAGGCUUGCACAAGUAACAGUUCAUCUGCUGAGCCAUCUCCCUAAAGAUAGCAUUCAAGAUUCACUACUUGAAAGGCUGAAGAAGGUUCCCAUGAAAAUGUGAUGAAUUGAAUGGCUGAGGAGGCAGAAGCAACCUUCAAGGCCUAUGAGGCCAAGAUGAGAAAGGCUUACCACCUGAAAAAUUGGACACUCGUCAGAAUUUAUUCGGAACUUGGUCUAAAAAGGAAGACUACUAAUUAUCUCUGUGGAGAAAUUGGCUGUGAAGGCACAGAGCAGUGACACUGGAUGGGGAAAUGGAGCAUGCUCUGAGCUCUGCUGCCGUGCUGACAGCACAUCAGGAACAGGAUGACAGAAGUGACGAAAGCAGGUUGGAUUCAGCGAGUGCCUCUCCUGAC